rnacentral:lncRNA from 1 species
AAGCAGAGUAAACCAUUAAAAGUUGUUAAAAGUCAGAUAGAGUACUUUUUUUAUAAGAAGCUGGAUUAUUGAAAAAGAAAUUAUUCUGCUUACAUAGCCAUCCUUGAUCCAAACAGACCUAAAAAUAAGAGAAAGAAACAAACAGUUGCUUCACAAGGUACUUAUAUGAUAACUUCUCGUAAUUUAUCUAUUUGUGAUAAUACUAUCUGGAUAUUGGAUAUCGAAAGUUCUAUUAAUAUA